rnacentral:rRNA from 1 species
GAGUUUGAACCUGGCUCAGGACGAACGCUGGCGGCGUGCCUAAUACAUGCAAGUCGAGCGAGCUUGCCUAGAUGAUUUUAGUGCUUGCACUAAAUGAAACUAGAUACAAGCGAGCGGCGGACGGGUGAGUAACACGUGGGUAACCUGCCCAAGAGACCGGGAUAACACCUGGAAACAGAUGCUAAUACCGGAUAACAACACUAGACGCAUGUCUAGAGUUUGAAAGAUGGUUCUGCUAUCACUCUUGGAUGGACCUGCGGUGCAUUAGCUAGUUGGUAAGGUAACGGCUUACCAAGGCAAUGAUGCAUAGCCGAGUUGAGAGACUGAUCGGCCACAUUGGGACUGAGACACGGCCCAAACUCCUACGGGAGGCAGCAGUAGGGAAUCUUCCACAAUGGACGAAAGUCUGAUGGAGCAACGCCGCGUGAGUGAAGAAGGGUUUCGGCUCGUAAAGCUCUGUUGGUAGUGAAGAAAGAUAGAGGUAGUAACUGGCCUUUAUUUGACGGUAAUUACUUAGAAAGUCACGGCUAACUACGUGCCAGCAGCCGCGGUAAUGCGUAGGUGGCAAGCGUUGUCCGGAUUUAUUGGGCGUAAAGCGAGUGCAGGCGGUUCAAUAAGUCUGAUGUGAAAGCCUUCGGCUCAACCGGAGAAUUGCAUCAGAAACUGUUGAACUUGAGUGCAGAAGAGGAGAGUGGAACUCCAUGUGUAGCGGUGGAAUGCGUAGAUAUAUGGAAGAACA